AAAAGUAAAUUUUGGUACAUAAAUUGAAACAUGGUAUACUUAAAUGUAAUAAAUACUAACCUUAAACAUAAGUGGUUAUAAGGUUUGUUAUAUGGGAUGUAUAUGUAAAAAUCCCAAAAAUUAAUGGAGGCAGCCCAAAGAUAGUUUUCAGUAAAUUGGGCUUCCAUAUUCGUGUGAGUUGAUUAAAGAUAUUCAAGCACAGACCUGGAACAUGCUGUUGGAAGGCCCCAAAGAUAUGGUCUCAUUUUGAUUAUACUACUAGGCCCAUUAUUGAGGGGGUCAGGCCCAAGGCAUGCGGCUAUAAGGACUGCAGCCAUGGAGUGGAUUGUUUCCAAUUGGGCUUGGCAUUUGGGCCCGAUGACACAGAAGAAAAGUUCAAUUGCUGACCACUCAAAUACUAUAAUUCAAAUAAACUAAGUGGACGACUUGAUUCAAUAGGCAAUGCAAUUCGAAGUUAUUCUAGUUUGAACGCUUACACAGGCAUGUGACUAAGAUGCAGUCAUGUCGAAUGUGAAUAUUGAAUAUCUCAAACUCAUAUUCAUACACUCUAUGACAUGAGAUUCAAGCAAAACUAGAAUUAUAUACACAGCCAUCAUUAACCUCCGAUUUCAGAUUAUCACCUACUAUCGUUGUUACUGAGCUUUAACUGAUUAUUCUAGAAAUUCUAAACAAUUUAUUUAAGUAUAAGACGGAAAUUUAUCUCGUUACUAGCCACUUCCUAGACAGAUGCAUGAGGUAGCAGACAGGAAAUUAACUACAACUAGUUAUAAAAUUAUUCUGUCAAACGACUGUAAAAUCAACUAUGACUAAUGUUCAACUCAUGAAGCUCACACAAACUCGAGAAAUAGCAGUUAAUACGAUCCAAUUAGUACAUAAAUAAGCAAGGUUCUGGAAGUAAACUAAAUCAAAUUUAUGCCUCCAUUCUUCACACAGAUUCAUUUCUUCACAUUUUCAGCUUACAAUCAUCAGAGAUACAAUUGUGUACCUGGAAUUGAAAUAGAUGAUAAAAUACAGGAGUUAGCUAAAGCAGUAAUGAAUAACAGCCCAAAAUCAUAGAAGUGGAUCAAUUUCAACUCCAAUCUACCACAACAAACCAAGAAUAAUUUGUAGAACAAUAAACAGCGACAAGCUACUGAAAAUAGAUCAAUCUAUGACCAAGCAGAGUCGAAUUCAACCCGGGACUGCUUCCUACCAGGAAAUACCCAAACAGAGCUCGACUAAUACCCGAAAACACUUGCAAUUGAAUCUCACAAGAUUAGAAACUAGAAUUAAUAGCUAACUUGCAACAAAUAUGAAGGAAUUAUUGAUGGAAUAGUUUUUUUUUAUUUUUUAUUUUCUGUUGCUUCAUUUUUUGAUUUUCUGGAAAGUUUUUUAUCUAACAGAGAUUUCAAAAUCUAGAUCUAGUUUUUGAAUAUGAAACAAUAGAAUAAUUUGGGGGGAAAUUUGGAGGAUCAAACUUAUUCACUAAGGCACUAGUCAUGCCUUUUUAUAGGCAAAAUGAGGGCAGCCCUCAGAUUUAAAGUUUUACACUCUUAAUCCAUCUUUACUAUUCAAUUUUACGCAAACAACCCCUUAUAUACUGACUUGUUUCUCAAGUUAAUAUCUUAUAUUUACUGAAAUCUAAACUAAAGCCCUAUUCUAGAAGGAUCUAGGGAAUUCUAGUUUGUGUUUCCAUUUAUGGAAUACCUAUACUACCCUUACUUUAUCCUAAAAUUUACUAGACUAAACUAACCCUUUUACCCUAGUUGAAGUUUAACUACAGUUAUUCAAAGAGCAUAAUGCAGCCAUGUCCAAUGAACUAACAAAGCUGGAAAACCAUUCUAAUUUCAUUAACGGAAAAAAAUUCAAAGAGCAAUCUAAUAUAAUUAACUAACUUAUAAAACUAAAACUUAUCAAAACAAAUUUCAAAUAUCACAAACUAGGAUGAAAAGAACAAUUAAACCAAAUAAGAACCAAUUGAAUCGUAAAGCAAAAAUUAAAACCAGCAGAAUCAACAUGAAAACAGAGAUCAGGUGAAAUUUAAACUAAUCAGAAAAAACCAUGAAGAACGUUUACUAUUUUUUAAUCAUUCUCAAAGUCUAAUUAAACCACAAUCCUAAGUUUAUAGUAAUAUAAUCCAACAUGAUAGACUCAAUAUUCAUGCCUGAACUACAAGCUUAUCACAAACAAAUUACAUUCAUUAAUUCGGACUAAAAUACCAAGGAGAAGAACGGAGAGUCGACAUACUGAAAAUAGAAAAAAUAGAGAAGCCAAUAAUGAACAAAGAGAAAGAAAACAUAAACAAAAGAAAAGAGAAGAACUCAAUCUAUGCCUGAUACGAGGAGGCUACUGCAUGGGUCGAUUCGGUCCCUAACAUCAAAAGAACCAAAUCCUAGAUCUGAAAUUGGCGAGCUUCACUUAAAUUUGAAGGUUCUUGGCUUAGAAUUUGGAAUGAGGAGGCCCAGGAGACUCUGGGGUACGAUUUUGAUCGGAUUUGGAAGAAGUAGGGUUUUGGCCGGAUUUUCAAAUGAAGAUCUGAAGAUAUUAGCGAUGAUUCGAGGUAAAUGGGUUGAAUAUUUGGGAUGAGGAGGUUGAGGAGAUCAUAGGGUGUAAAUUUGGGACUGAUUUGUGGUGGUGCCGCCACCGGAGACGGUGAGGGUUUGGGGGCGGCUUAGCUAGGGUUAUUGUGUAUCUCUGAUGAACCAAGGGAGUGAAAGCGACGUUAAGGGGGUGGGGGUGGGGGGUUUCGAACAGUUAAGUAUUAAGGGGAAGGGGCUUCUCGAAUAUAGAUGGUUGAGAUCAAAACUCAAACGAAUGACGUUAUUUUGAAAUACAAAGGUAGACCGGGUUCGGAAAUGAAGCUGCGCCGGACUCGGUGGAUUCUAAUUCGUUUGGGCUGCCUUUUAGCCCAAAAUUGGGCAAUAUUAUG
rnacentral:lncRNA from 1 species